rnacentral:rRNA from 1 species
ACUUGGAGGUUGUGGCCUUGAGCCGUGGCUUUCGGAGCUAACGCGUUAAGUAGACCGCCUGGGGAGUACGGUCGCAAGAUUAAAACUCAAAUGAAUUGACGGGGGCCCGCACAAGCGGUGGAGCAUGUGGUUUAAUUCGAUGCAACGCGAAGAACCUUACCUAUCUUGACAUCCAGAGAACUUUCCAGAGAUGGAUUGGUGCCUUCGGGAACUCUGAGACAGGUGCUGCAUGGCUGUCGUCAGCUCGUGUUGUGAAAUGUUGGGUUAAGUCCCGCAACGAGCGCAACCCUUAUCCUUGUUUGCCAGCACUUCGGGUGGGAACUCCAGGGAGACUGCCGGUGAUAAACCGGAGGAAGGUGGGGACGACGUCAAGUCAUCAUGGCCCUUACGAGUAGGGCUACACACGUGCUACAAUGGCGUAUACAGAGGGCUGCCAACUCGCGAGAGUGAGCGAAUCCCAGAAAGUACGUCGUAGUCCGGAUUGGAGUCUGCAACUCGACUCCAUGAAGUCGGAAUCGCUAGUAAUCGUG